ensembl:lncRNA
GUGCCAUUGAUGCUUUGGCUCUCUAUUCAAGUCAUUGCAUCCUGUGCUAUUGUUGUCGUCUUCCACUGUCUCCUCCCCAUCGCCAAGUGUGGCCAUCAGCACCAUUUCAAGGAGAUAUUGAUGCUUUGGUUCUCUAUAUGCAAAUUCAGAUCUGCUUCUAACCCUUACGCAACUACGCCUAGCUUGCUUAGCAUCUUUGGAAAAAAGGCCAGAACCCACGAUUUUUGAUCUACGAUCAUCUAUGAUUUUGGAAACUUGAUACACUAUUAAUACUUGAUACACUAUUUAUACUUGAUACCACAAAGAUUUACACCCAAUCUUACAACCUGAAAAAAAUCAAUCUCAAACCACUGAAAAAAAAAAAAAAAAAAAAAAAAAAAAAAAAACGAAAACUGAGCUGCAUCUUCAGAAAGAGUAGGUAAAUUGACCUCUUCACUGUUUUCACUGUCUGUAUAUUCUUCAAGGACUACUGAUUUGACGACUACAUCAACUUUGACAUAACGAUAAGAUAUAUUACAUUUUAUAUAUCAGUAAAUAUAUUCAAUAAUCAGUAAUUAUUAAAUACAAUAUUCUUACAUUUACUACAUUUACUUCCCAGUGUUGAAAAUGCCAAGAAAAGGAAAGAGGAGUGAAUCACAG